rnacentral:sRNA from 1 species
UGUGUCUGUGCCGAGUAUCGAUGGCUAACACAAUUCUGGAAUUUCGUUCGUCUGUCUUUCUUUCCUGUUUUCUUCGUGGUCACUUUUCCUAUCUACCUACUUACAUAUGGUUUUUGGAAUCCGGUGUUGUCAGCAGUUCUUGUAGUCUUACAUGUCGUGUGGUGGUGUUGCAGUGUGCGAGUAAGUGUGAUGUGAUGGGGGUCAGGGAAACAGUUCAGGACAAAGGAAAAAUCACCCCCUGUAAGGAUACAGAGGAAUGAGGGUAGGAGGAAAACAGAGUGGAGGACGAGAGAGACGGAAAAGUAGUUUUGGGGUGCCGAGGAGAGAGAGAGAGAGAGAAGGGAAAGGCGAGAGGGAGAGCAGGAUGGCCGUGCCAGGAGGCUUUAGGGAGGAGGGAGGUACGGACGGAGGAUGCAGGGAAGGUGUGAGGAAGAUGAGUCAGCUCACAGAGUUGGAAAAGAUAUAAAAGGCGUAGCCUUUAGAGUAGGAAAAUGCAUAGCCCCAGGCAGCUUAGUCUUCUCG